rnacentral:snRNA from 1 species
AGCUUUGCGCAGUGGCAGUAUGGUAGCCAAUGAGGCUUAUCCAAGGUGCAAUUAUUGCUAAUUGAAUU